ACUACGUUGUUCGCCGGUCAAACAUCUUUUUGAUCGUUGAGCAAGCGCCGGUCGCUUACCGAUGCCUGUCAGUUUAAACGAUUAAAUAUAUUCCUUUUUGUAAGUAUAUUCGUUGAAUAUACGUCAUCUACUUUGUAAAACUUAUUUAAGAGGUUCGAGUUACCAAGCCUCUUUGUAUCGAAACCGUGCCUCUUGCAAUAUAAGUCAUAUAUUGCCUUAUUUCUACAUAUUUAAACACUCCUGAGGGAGUGUUUAUUUUUCUUUAAUUUUAUAUAUACUUUGUAUAUUGCAUUACAAAGUAAUAUAAUAUUUUUCGGUGAACUCAACCUAGGAAUUGUGGCUGAUUUGGGGCUGUUGGAGGCUCCGCUGUUUUGUGAAGGAGAGGCUGCUUGUCCUGUGGCCUGCUGUUACUGCUGGUGCUUUUUGCUGCUUCGCACUGCUUUUAUUUAUUUGUUCACUCAUUGUGACAAUGCGUUCGGGGUUUGCACUA